UGGGGAAUAUUGGACAAUGGGCGAAAGCCUGAUCCAGCCAUGCCGCGUGUGUGAAGAAGGUCUUCGGAUUGUAAAGCACUUUAAGUUGGGAGGAAGGGCAGUAAGCGAAUACCUUGCUGUUUUGACGUUACCGACAGAAUAAGCACCGGCUAACUCUGUGCCAGCAGCCGCGGUAAUACAGAGGGUGCAAGCGUUAAUCGGAAUUACUGGGCGUAAAGCGCGCGUAGGUGGUUCGUUAAGUUGAAUGUGAAAGCCCCGGGCUCAACCUGGGAACUGCAUCCAAAACUGGCGAGCUAGAGUAGGGCAGAGGGUGGUGGAAUUUCCUGUGUAGCGGUGAAAUGCGUAGAUAUAGGAAGGAACACAAGUGGCGAAGGCGACCACCUGGGCUCAUACUGACACUGAGGUGCGAAAGCGUGGGGAGCAAACAGG
rnacentral:rRNA from 1 species